AAGUCUGAUGCAGCAACGCCGCGUGAGGGAUGAAGGCCUUCGGGUUGUAAACCUCUUUUAGCAGGGAAGAAGCGAAAGUGACGGUACCUGCAGAAAAAGCACCGGCUAACUACGUGCCAGCAGCCGCGGUAAUACGUAGGGUGCAAGCGUUGUCCGGAAUUAUUGGGCGUAAAGAGCUCGUAGGCGGUUUGUCGCGUCUGCUGUGAAAUUUCGAGGCUCAACCUCGAACUUGCAUUGGGUACGGGCAGGCUCGAGUGCAGUAGGGGAGAUGGGAAUUCCUGGUGUAGCGGUGGAAUGCGCAGAUAUCAGGAGGAACACCAAUGGCGAAGGCACAUCUCUGGGCUGUAACUGACGCUGAGGAGCGAAAGCGUGGGGAGCGAACAGGAUUAGAUACCCUGGUAGUCCACGCCGUAAACGGUGGGGUGCUAGCUGUGGGGCACAUUCCACGUGUUCCGUGACGAAGUUAAC
rnacentral:rRNA from 1 species